AUGGCGUAUGAAAGUGAUGAGAGUAUGUUCGAGUAUCUAAAUGUUGUCAGCAAGAUGUUUGAUAGUGAGGCUGAAGGCUAUGAAUUCUACAACAAAUAUGCUCUUGAAAAAGGUUUUAGUGUGAGGAAAAGCUACGUUGAGUGGGAUGGAUCCAGCAAAAACAUAAUUUUAAGGAAAAUUAUGUGUAGUCGUCAAGGGUUUCGCAAAGAGAAGCACAUGAAAAGAAAGAUUGCAGAUAGAAAGAGGAGGCCACCAAGUUUAACUCGUGUUGGGUGUAAUGCUAAAUUGGUCAUUACGAGACAGGAGGAAACCGGUCUGUGGUUUGUCAAGGAUUUCAUCGAUGAGCACAACCAUCCUCUAGCCCCAUGGGGGUGGUAUGGCCAGACUCAAACCAUAGACUAUGUAUAUGGCACAUUGAGCAGAACAUUGUACGCCAUCUGCAUGAUGACGACGUAA
rnacentral:rRNA from 1 species